rnacentral:tRNA from 1 species
GCCAGUGUGGCGUAGUGGUCUGAGUGUUGGACUAUGACUCUGUAGACCAGAGUUCAAUUCCCAGCUCUUCCA